GCUGGGCAUGGUGGCGUGUGCCUGUAAUCCCAGCUACUUGGGAGGCUGAGGCAGGAGAAUAACUUGAACCCAGGAGGUGGAGGUUGCAGUGAGCCAAGAUUGCACUACUGCACUCUAGCCUGGGUGACAGAGCAAGAGUCUGCCUCAA
ensembl:misc_RNA Metazoa_SRP Metazoan signal recognition particle RNA